GACGAACGCUGGCGGCGUGCCUAAUACAUGCAAGUAGAACGCUGAAGGAGGAGCUUGCUCUUCUGGAUGAGUUGCGAACGGGUGAGUAACGCGUAGGUAACCUGCCUGGUAGCGGGGGAUAACUAUUGGAAACGAUAGCUAAUACCGCAUAAGAGUAGAUGUUGCAUGACAUUUGCUUAAAAGGUGCAAUUGCAUCACUACCAGAUGGACCUGCGUUGUAUUAGCUAGUUGGUGGGGUAACGGCUCACCAAGGCGACGAUACAUAGCCGACCUGAGAGGGUGGUCGGCCACACUGGGACUGAGACACGGCCCAGAGUCCUACGGGAGGCAGCAGUAGGGAAUCUUCGGCAAUGGACGGAAGUCUGACCGAGCAACGCCGCGUGAGUGAAGAAGGGUUUCGGAUCGUAAAGCUCUGUUGUAAGAGAAGAACGAGUGUGAGAGUGGAAAGUUCACACUGUGACGGUAUCUUACCAGAAAGGGACGGCUAACUACGUG
rnacentral:rRNA from 1 species